rnacentral:lncRNA from 1 species
UGACCAGCAAGGGAAAUAAUUUGCAGCCUUGAAAGUGAUUUUGCAAAUGCUGGGUUCAUCUCCAUUUUUGCUACCUGGUACCUACUCUGUGUGCUUCAAAUGAAAAACAGAGGUGACCAUCUCCAUGUCCACGAUAGUAGGGGGAUGUGGAGCUGCUUUGAAAUGCUUCUUCUGUGGCCUGUCCCCUAUGUCAUUAUGGCAGUGACUUUUACCCAAAAGCUUUAAUAAGGUACUUUUGAAAAUAAUACAUUUUAGUUAUUUUUCCUUGUAUAUCUGUGCAGCUGUAUUCUAAACAGAUCAUUGUAAUUCAGCCUCUGUUUCUAACAAUGUAAUAAGGAGCUUGUUCACACUUGAAAGGUAAUUCUGAUUAAAGCAGAUGUAAAUUUAAUUUCUGUAGCUAUUAUUAAAUAACUCCACUCGUGGUUGUGCUUAUUUGUGCUCUGCUUAUCUCAAAUAACUUUCAAAUAAAG